CAACUUUUAACAACGGAUAUCUUGGCUCUCGUAACGAUGAAGAACGCAGCGAAAUGCGAUACGUAGUGUGAAUUGCAGAAUUCAGUGAAUCAUCGAGUUUUUGAACGCAAAUUGCGCUCGUGGGCUCUGCCCUAGAGCAUGCCUGUUUGAGCAUCACGCA
rnacentral:rRNA from 1 species